AUACCCGGAGCUCGCUAGUGGCAGAGCCUGCAACACCCACUCCUCUCCAGCUCUCUCUUCAGGGACAGAGAGGAAUCCACUUACCAAGAUGGCAGGAGCAAGUGGUUAUCAGAGCCUGCUUUCUAGAAAUUCAGUUAAAUAAGCAGCCCCCAUCUCUUUUUCUCCAAUUUCAGUUCUUGGGGAAGGGAUUGGAAUAAGUGAACAGGAGAGAAGGGUCCUGUUGAGGAAGCCAGGACUCAGAGCAUUUCUGCAGACUGAGUCUGGAUCCUUUCCUUCAGCCUCCAGGAAUACUGCCAUCUCCACACCCAGGGUGGUAAUCCAGGCAAGGGCUCCAGUGUGUGGCCACCCUGCCACCUACUACCUGUGUGUCCAAAUGCAGUGACUCAGCUUCUCUGUGCCUCUCUUUCCUCUAUCAUUUCCACAUGUAUAAAAUGAGGCUAAUGUUGCUACUGUAAGGAUUGCAUCAAUUAAUAAAUAGCACUCAGU